AGUGAACGCUGGCGGUAGGCCUAACACAUGCAAGUCGAACGGCAGCACAGUAAGAGCUUGCUCUUACGGGUGGCGAGUGGCGGACGGGUGAGGAAUACAUCGGAAUCUACUUUUUCGUGGGGGAUAACGUAGGGAAACUUACGCUAAUACCGCAUACGACCUACGGGUGAAAGCAGGGGAGCUUCGGACCUUGGGCGAUUGAAUUAGCCGAUGUCGGAUUAGCUAGUUGGCGGGGUAAAGGCACACCAAGGCGACGAUCCGUAGCUGGUCUGAGAGGAUGAUCAGCCACACUGGAACUGAGACACGGUCCAGACUCCUACGGGAGGCAGCAGUGGGGAAUAUUGGACAAUGGGCGCAAGCCUGAUCCAGCCAUACCGCGUGGGUGAAGAAGGCCUUCGGGUUGUAAAGCCCUUUUGUUGGGAAAGAAAAGCAGCAGGUUAAUACCCCGCUGUUCUGACGGUACCCAAAGAAUAAGCCCCGGCUAACUUCGUG
rnacentral:rRNA from 1 species